AUUCUUAGAAACCUGUUGACACAAAUUUAACGAAGUUUUGAAACAGAUGGAAGUGGGCCUUGACAUCAAAUUCUUUCAACGAGAGAGAAGAAAGAAAGAGGAGGGGGGAGUUUUGAUUCAUCAGCUGUAUAUAGUUCUCCAUGUGACGACGGCGAGAGGAGAGCGGGGCAAAUGUGAAAUGGCACCAUUGAAAUAUUUGGAGCAAGAGUAUCCCAUAUUAGACUCCAACUUCCAGAACUUCUGUGCUACUCACGGCAUUUUCUCAGAGGAGGAUUUACUCUUGCAUGACCUCCAUGUAUUGGUUGCUUUUGCAGAGCAACAGUCGACAUCUGAGAGAUUAAAGCAGGGCAUUACCCAAGUCCUCUCUAUCAUUGAUGGUCAGCAUCAGCCGUGGUUGAAUGGUAUGGAGCUGUUGGAAGAUGCUCAACUGAAUAAACAUGUGUUAUCCACUGGUUGUGAGGGGAUUGAUCUUUUACUUCAAGGUGGAUUACGCAUGGGACAGUUAACUGAACUUGUUGGGGCUUCAUCGUCUGGUAAAACACAGGUUUGCCUUCUAGCCACCUCAAAUGUUGCAAAAAAGCAUAUGGGCGGUGUUGUAUACUUAGAUACAGGCAACUCCUUUUCGCCCCAACGUGUUAUAGACUUUAUUCGUCAGAAUUCUGACCCUGCCAUUGAUCAGGCUAAACACAGAAUUCUGCAGAAGGUAAUGAAUAGAAUAUUAUGCCACUCAGUAUUUGACAUCUUUACAAUGUUUGAUGUGCUACAUCAGCUAGAACUCAAUCUGAGAUCUCAGAUACAGAAAGGAGAUUGUCAGGUGCAGCUGCUUAUAGUUGAUUCGAUGUCAUCACUGGUUACGCCAAUCCUUGGAGGAGGUGGUUCUCAGGGACAUGCAUUAAUGACUUCUGCUGGAUUUCUGCUGAAGAAAUUAGCACAUGAGCAUAAUCUUGUCGUAUUGGUGACGAAUCACACUGUGGGUGGAGAGGGAGGUAUCUCUAAACCAGCUCUUGGAGAGAGUUGGAAGAGCAUCCCACAUGUUAGGCUUCGGCUUUCCCAUGACCAAGGAAGCAGCAUCUACAAUGUUUCUGUAUUUAAACACCCAUCCAUGGCUUCUGGUAAGGCUGCAAGGUUUACGAUUUAUGACUAGUGACGUGGAUUAUACUUGAACCUGGCCAAUUCUCGGGUGAAAUAUUUGGGGUGGCAGAGUCAUACAAGGAAGAUACUCUUGAUAAACUCAAAUUGCAGAAAUGCACCUGUUUCGUAAUAUCAUCAAGAACUAGCAAUUUUGUUAGGUGCUUGGCUGGAGGCUAUUGGAUGAUGAAGGUGGUCUUAAACUAUAAUGCUUGUGGAAAUUGAGAGAUUUUAAAUGUGGGGUUGAACUCAAUAAUAGGAUUUAUGAGGUUGUAGAAGCUGCAGGACAUUUACCCAAACCUCCACUUGGAACAACCAAAUCAAGUUACAGCUGAACUUUGGACAGCUUCCAUAGGUAAACGUCUAAAUUUGAAAAUUUUCCUUCAGCCAAUUGGAAAAGAUUCUUCUUUUAUAUCUCAUAUGCCGCAAUCUUUCAUUUUCUUGUUUUAACCAUAUUGGGAAUGGUUAAGUUCCAAAUACUUCUACAUGGCCCUUGAAAAGUGUAACACACCUCAAAUUACUCAAAAUAAAGUACACUAAAAUUGCUCACUUCGAGGGAGCACCUCUAAAGAAAAGAGGAAGAAAAUGAAAAGAGAAAAGAAAAGAGGAUUUUCAUUUAAGUUUCUUGAUUAUGAACACUAGAGCCUUUGGCUAUAAACAAGAUGCUCCCUACAUGGGUCCAGGCUAACAAAACUAAAAGCAUACAAAGAAAAUAAAACUAAGGGCUUGGCCCCACUAGCUAUCUUAUAGUUCAAAUAGCAUGCUGAAUCAAAAUAAAGUAAGUUGUUAAUGAAAUUAAAUUGGCCCAUGGCCGAUGUACUUCAUUUGUAGACUGUGACAAACCAUCUCCAUAAAAGCACCUUGUCCACAAGGUGCGAUAUCAUUGCCCACAAUUGUCCUACCACCAGGGUAAAAAAUGAAGAUUUUCCUUAUCUCAGCAGCCACACCAUGAUUUUGCAAAGCAUUUUUUAGGCCUACUACAGAAAGGGGUGGUCUGCUGAAAACAGCAACAGGUACAUUCUUGUAGUCUUGUUUUGUAGGUCGCCCACCAAAAAUAGUUGUUACAAAGCAUGUGGCCUCCAUUAAGGCCACAUGGAUAACAAUCAUUCUAUUCGUAACAUCACCUACACACAAGAACAAUUCCUACUCUAGAGCAACAGUUCUUUUAGCUGUUGUGGCACCAGCUAUUAACUUGCACAUGGAAGCCUGAUAAGUGUCACUCAAUGGCUGAUGGAAGUAAAAACUUGUUAUUAGAUGAUGUUGUAAUAGUCCACCCCGCUCCUCAACAAGCUGAGAAACUACAAUUGCAAGUUGUUCAUCCCCAUGGUUCUUUGAGCAAACAUUGAGAGCUGAAUAAGUAUCACCUCCAAGCUGAAAGUAAGCAAUGGCCAGCUCUAGCUUAUUUCUCUUCAUCAAAACAUAAGCUUUCUUCAAAGUGACUGCUUUAUAUUUUUCUUCCUGAAAAGUCCUUGCAAGAAAAGCCACCAAAAGCUUAUCCUUCUCAUCCUGCUGAUUAUAAAAAGACCAACCAACACUUGAAGUCUAUUCAAUGUUGUAUAUAACAAAGCACAAUCAUUGGGAUUUUUGUUUUUAAGAUAUUGUAAUCUUGCCAGUUUCUCCAUCUAUGCAUGCAAUUGUGUUGUAUUAGUAGACCAAUAUCCAACUCCAACAGCCUGCAUUUCUUGCCAAGUUGGUUUGUUAGGUAGAAAAGAAGCAAUUAAAAUUUAUUGGGAAUCAAAGUGGUAUGCCCAUAUAAUCAACCUAGAGCCAACACCCAACUCUUUCACAAAUGCCAAUCUUCCAAUCAUCUGGAAAAAAUGUAACUGCUGACACCUCAACGCUAUCCAAAACCUUCGCCCAAGUUUAUCAAGACUUUCAUAGGCCAAAGUUUGUGGAAUACUAAGUUCACUGAGAAGAUCUGUAGUUCCAACAAUUUGAGUCUUCUCUAUCUUGGCUAUUGCUGCCAACCAAUGCAAGUUCUCAAGAGGCUCAACAAAACCAUUAAGUUCAAAGUUUCUGGAAGAGGAAGGGAAGUUGUUAUUGGAAGAAAAAGACUCAUAAUCAGAAGCAAAUUGGAACAUGCUGUUCUGAAACUGAGAUGAUGCUGUGGUCAAAUCUCCACUCCAUUGAAAUCCAUUAUCAGUUGAAUUUAUGAAAAGGCUUCCUUCCAAAUAAUCAGACGAGGAUCUCUGGGAUUAUGCAACUGGUCCUUGUGGGGAUAUUUUUCAUCUUAGUAGCAUGGUUAGAAGUAAGACCUUCAGCUAGAUGCCACACAACCAUAUAUGCACGUUUCCAUUUCUCUGAAUCAUAUUUCAAUUGAUCCCUUCCUAUGAACAAAUUGAUGGCAAGGAAAUCAUUCUUCCUAUGAAACUCUAUAGAUGGCUGAGACUCACAUGAUUGAUUAAAAUUAUCAAUGUCACAAUUAGUAAAAACUAUAGAAAGAUGCUUCAGAUCUAAGCAUUACAACCCCUAGACAGUUAAGCAAUUUGACAUCCUUGCCUAACUGAACUGCUUGCAUUGAUAUUGUAAAUCCAGGAGUAGCACCAACAUUGGUGACAUAGCACCUCUUCAAGCUAUUAAUGAGACUACUCUUACCAAGAUUGGGUAGGCCAAUAAUACCUACCAUAAUUAACUUCUUGAUCUCAUGGUUUCUUGAGUAAUUCUUCAACAAUUUAAUAAGAAUUUCAGCCCCUAUACAAUCCCUCGUUUGCAGAAGAUUGCUUGGUUUUGCUACCUUGGAUGACGACUCCCACCCUACGCUUGAUCUUUGCUGUUGAGUACUGCACUUAAAUGCAACUGUUGGUAAUUCUUCCCUAAGAUACUUGAGCCACUUCUCAACAGCUUCUCUAGGAACAAGAUCGAUUUUAUUCAGAAGUAAAACUAGAGUCUUGUGAGGUACAAAUUUAAUCACCAACUUCUUCAUAUCAACACAGCGAGUACCUAGGGAAUCACAAGUAUCAAGAACCUCCACAAUAACAUUUGAUGCUUCAAUGACCUUACCCAACUCCUUGUAGAAAGCUUUGUCCACAUCAUCCUGAUUUUUUCCAGCUCCCAUUGAAUCGACGUUAUGUUGGCUCUUACAAUUUGUUCCCACAAUUUUUCUUUCUCUUCCUUUAUCAAAGGGUCCAAAAACACCCUUAAGUGGCAAUAUAUCAAGCAGUUGGGGAGCAAAAGUCAUACCUACCAAAACUUUAUCCCUCUUUUGUAGUGUUAGAUGCAUUAUAUCAUCCUUGAUGGUCCAGAAAGAAGAGUCCGUCUCCACUGGAUCCCAAUCUAACUCAUGCUCUUCAGCAAUUUCUUUCAUAAGCUUUAGUUUCUUUUUAAGUGAAGGAGCACCAAUUGUUAGUAGUUCUAUUAACUAGCGAUUAACACCACAAUCUGGCAUGAGCUUUGUUGCAGCUGAUACAACUUUUUUGCCAUACUUAGUCGCAAAUAGCAU